CACGUAGGGCGCGAGCGUUGUCCGGAAUUAUUGGGCGUAAAGAGCUCGUAGGCGGCCUGUUGCGUCCGCUGUGAAAGCCCGGGGCUUAACCCCGGGUCUGCAGUGGAUACGGGGCAGGCUAGAGGUAGGUAGGGGAGAAUGGAAUUCCCGGUGUAGCGGUGAAAUGCGCAGAUAUCGGGAGGACACCGGUGGCGAAGGCGGUUCUCUGGGCCUUACCUGACGCUGAGGAGCGAAAGCGUGGGGAGCGAACAGG
rnacentral:rRNA from 1 species